CGUAGGGUGCAAGCGUUAUCCGGAAUUAUUGGGCGUAAAGAGCUCGUAGGCGGUUUGUCGCGUCUGCUGUGAAAACCCGAGGCUCAACUCGGGCCUGCAGUGGGUACGGGCAGACUAGAGUGCGGUAGGGGAGAUUGGAAUUCCUGGUGUAGCGGUGGAAUGCGCAGAUAUCAGGAGGAACACCGAUGGCGAAGGCAGAUCUCUGGGCCGUAACUGACGCUGAGGAGCGAAAGGGUGGGGAGCAAACAGGCUUAGAUACCCUGGUAGUCCACCCCGUAAACGUUGGGAACUAGUUGUGGGGUCCAUUCCACGGAUUCCGUGACGCAGCUAACGCAUUAAGUUCCCCGCCUGGGGAGUACGGCCGCAAAGCUA
rnacentral:rRNA from 1 species